AGCCUCCAUGGCAGAAGCUCUCUCUCUCUCUCUCUCUCUCUCUCUCUCUCUCUCUCAUCAGUAACUUUUAGGGCUGGGCAUCUGAGGACCGCCCUCGCCGCCUACUCGAUGUCACACUCCACUGCACAGACGCAGACCAUUGUCUCGCUUUGAUUUGGAGUUGCUCAUCUUCAAUAUCUGCAAUCGGAGGAGAGAUUUAUAAAGUACUAUGAGAGUCUAACUGAAGAAGAGACAUACAAGCGUGAGGAGAUGGAGGACUCAUGAGCCAGAGUUACAUCCCUACUUUGUACAUGGAGAUUUAUGGGAGUCUUUCAAGGACUGGAGUGCGUACGGUGCAUGGGUCACAAAAUGGGAGUGACUCUGUUAUGUACUAUGUUCCUUAUUUGUCUGCUAUUCAGCUCUAUGUAGACCCAUCAAAGCCCUCCACAAGAAUAAGGUCAACAAUAUUGUAAACACAAGACUUUCAAUCAAUUCAGUCUGUGAUUUUUCUGCUUAAGCACUCUGGAUUAUAGUUUAUGUUUGCAGCUGCUAACUCUGGUGCAAUGUUCAUUCCUUAAUGUUUCUGUUCAUCCUUUAUUGUGUAUAGUUUAUGGGUUCACAUAGAUGUCAUUUUUUGGGGAAAAUCUUGAGGAAAUUUGAAUUUAGUGACUGAAGCAGAUGGAGCAUGCUGUGCAUUUUGGUGUGAUUAAUUUUUUCAUUAUCAUUGUUGGAUUCCUUGCACUUCUAUUGAGGUUGUUAUAUA